rnacentral:tRNA from 1 species
UCCCGGAUCGUCCAAUCGGCAGGACGUCUGACUCUGGAUCAGAAAAUCGAGGUUCGAAUCCUUGUCCGGGAG